rnacentral:rRNA from 1 species
AACGAACGCUGGCGGCAUGCCUAACACAUGCAAGUCGAACGAGACCUUCGUGUCUAGUGGCGCACGGGGGCGUAACGCGGGGUAACCUGCCCGUAGGUUCGGAAUAACUCCCCGAAAGGGGUCCUAAUACCGGUUAAUGUCAUCGGACCUACGAGUUUUCGCCGUUGGAUGGGCCCGCGUUGGAUUCGCUGGUUGGUAGGGUACAAGCAUGCCAAGGCGACGUUCCAUAGCUGGUCUGUGAGGAUGAUCCGCCACACUGGGACUGCGACACGGCCCAGACUGCUACGGGAGGGAGCAGUGGGGAAUAUUGGGCGCUGGGCGAAAGCCUGGUCCCGCAAUGCCGCGUGAGUGAUGAAGGCCUUAGUGUUGCAAAUCUCUUUUUCCCGGGAUGAUAGUGACAGUACCGGGUGAAUAAGCUCCGGCUAACUCCGUG